GGAAUAUGGUUUUGCGGAGCAUAUCAAGCUCGACCCUUGGACCUCUUCAGAUGGUGCUGGAGCUCAGAGAAGACUUCUUCACCUCCUCCACACUCUUUCUCUAGGGUUUUUCUCUCUCUACAACGAAAUCGCCGAUUUUGCUUGUUUUCGUCGCAACGUUGGUUUUUCGCUGGUUGCGAGCGUCGCUGAGCCUACGUGGUCGUGUGAGGGAGUAUUUUGAAGGGUUUUUCGCAGCCCUGAGCCAGUGAGGUGCUGGUUGGAAGCUAGAGAAGCAGGUUUCUGAACCACGUGAAGCUUAUUUGGUGACCUGGGAGGCUGGUUUAGAAGGUGUUCUAUCCUAAGCGGGAUUGCGAUCGAGCCCUGAAUUGUCCUCGACUGACUUGUGAGAGCUCUUGGAGGUUACAGUUGAGG